GAUGAAGAACGCAGCGAAAUGCGAUAAGUAAUGUGAAUUGCAGAAUUCAGUGAAUCAUCGAAUCUUUGAACGCACAUUGCGCCCGCCAGUAUUCUGGCGGGCAUGCCUGUCCGAGCGUCAUUUCAACCCUCGGGCCCCCCUCUGCGGGCGGCCCGGCGUUGGGGCUCAGGCGCCGUCUCUGCUCGGCGCCUGUCCCCUAAAUGCAGUGGCGGCCUCGCCGCUGCCUCCUCCGCGUAGUAGCACCAACCUCGCGGCUGGAAGGCGGCGCGGCCACGCCGUAAAACCCCCCAACUUUACCAAGGUUGACCUCGGAUCAGGUAGGAAUACCCGCUGAACUUAAGCAUAUCAAUAAGCGGAGGA
rnacentral:misc_RNA from 1 species